GGUAGCCGUAGAAACACAUAAGUA
rnacentral:siRNA from 1 species